rnacentral:rRNA from 1 species
CCCUUAGAUGUUCUGGGCCGCACGCGCGCUACACUGAUGCAUUCAACGAGUUUCUUCCUGGUCCGAGAGGAAUGGGUAACCUUUUGAAAGUGCAUCGUGAUAGGGAUAGACUAUUGCAAUUAUUGGUCUUCAACGAGGAAUUCCUAGUAGACGUAGUUCAUCAGACUGCAUCGAUUACGUCCCUGCCCUUUGUACACACCGCCCGUCGCUCCUACCGAUUGAAUGCUCAGGUGAGCCAUUCGGACUUUCAUCAUGCUGGUUUCCAGUUUUGAUGAAGGAAAGUCUUGCGAACCUUAUCAUUUAGAAGAAGGAGAAGUCGUAACA